CAAGAAAUCUCACAUAUCUCGACUCUAAGAACUUUCUUGAGCUAGGAUGCCAUAAAAUAUAUUCAGUAUCUGUAUGCACUACUAAGACUGCUUUUACAAAUACAAUACUGAAUUUGGUCUCUGUUUUGGGCAACUUGAUGUAAGCGAUGCACCCAAAUCUCCUAAUAUGUUCUAGAUGGCACCUUGCUUUUGUUGAGAACUAUAAUAUUGGAACCUCAUAGUUAAUUGAUUUGUGCGGAGUGAUAUUAUAAGAAUGAACAGCUUCUACUGCUGCUAAUUCUCACAUACUUGGUGGUAAACCAGAAUCACACAUGUGCUCUGAUUGUUCUCUAAAUUGUUUUAUUGAACCUUUCGGCUACUCCAUUGAGUCCUGGAGUAUAGGGUGGACCCCAACCCGGUAAAUCUACCGCCGGUGUACUUAGUACCUCUAUCUGAUCUAACGUAACAUACUCUUGCAUUUACACCUAAAAAAUUUUGAGCAGAUAUCAGAUAAUUUUCAAACGCUUGGCCUGCUUUAUCUUUUGACUUUAGACAAUAUAUUCUGGCAUUCCAAGAAUAAUCGUCUACAAAUGUCAUAAUGUACCUCUUUUCCCCAGGUCGUGAAGUCGGAUUAAUUGGACCCAUUAAAUCUGAAUGAAUAAUCUGCAAUGGCCUUUCUGCUCUGCAUCUAUUCUGUUUGAAUAGAGUUUUUUCCAUUUUUGACAAUAUACAUACUUCAAAAUCUCUUAUUGACUCAUCUAAUUUUACAUGAUCUAACUCUUUUCUUUCUUUUGUAACAUUUUUAAAUAGUUCAAAGAUGCAUGACCUAGUCUGAUGUGCCAUAGCAUUGCUUCAUUUUGUUUAACUUCUGAAUUUAAUAUAUCAGGUGGAUUUUCCACGAGUAACCCUUUCAACUUCUCAAUAGUACUUAAGUCAUCCACUUUGAUUGUUCUAUGGGACAUCAGGCUAGCAACACACUCUGUAGUUGUUUUUUCCUAUGAAUUUACAUAUUCUGCAUUCGAUUCAAUGAGUUCUUCAGACUUCUCCCUUUCAAUCACAUUUCGUUUUCUUUUGAUGUCUCUGUAUUAUACUCUGAAUUGUCUCCCUCCGAGACUGACGGUUGUUUAAUCUUAGGAUCCGUCUGUGAUUGCUUUGAAGACUCAUUGUCUAUCGCUAGACACGCUAUGCAGCUAUAGUUAUCAGACUCAUUUAUUAUAGCAUCAUUUUUGUUCGUUACUUUUUUAACUUCAAACCUAACUACCCAAUUCGGUUUUUCAUAAAUACCUUUAAAUAUAGUUUUAUCGUUUUCUUUAUUAUAUACUCUGAAUAUCUUAUCGUAUAGAUUUAUAUAUAACCCUGCAUCUAUUGAUCUUCGCAAUAAUAAUAGAUUUUCUGAAAUUUCUUUUGCUGCGAUUACAGUUGUUAAUUUAAUAGGGUUUUCAUCAGAAACAUUGUUUUUAAGCAAAAGAUUACCUCUACCAUCAAUCACGAUAUCAGCGAAAUCAUUUUCAUUGGAACUUUUAAUAACUCUCUUAUCAGAUAUUUUAAAAUCGCUCAGAAUAAAACUUUUAUUUACGAUAUGUUUAGUUGCUCCCGAAUCUGCUAUGAACUCUAUGUGCGCUUCAUUAUUGGAGUCAUUAUUAAUAUCUAAAAAAUCGUCGCUACGUACAUUAAAGCUGACUGACCAGCUAUGUGCCCAUUGGACGUUGAUUGACUAUCAUAAUUUUGGUUUACAUAACAAAAAACAAAAGUUUAUAAAGUUUCAGCCUUAAGAAAUUGAUUUUAUUAUGUCGGUGAUCAUGACAUGUUUGACCGCGCACCUGAGGCACCUGUUAUAAUAUCCACUUGACUGAUCGCAGCAUUUUAUUGUAUAUUAUGAUUAUAAUCACCUGAGAAAAAACCAGGCUUAAUAAAUUCAGAGACUUUUUUUGGCUCUCCCUCUCCACCUAAUAUAGACUCGCCCCGCUCGAGUUUCUUCGGGCGCGUCUGCGUGCAAACAAUCUCAGUAAUAGCGUUACGUAUAUGCAAACGCGUUACUGAGUUUAUCUUGUCGAGCGCGUCUUUUUCAGCAUGCUCGAGCCUCGCGCCGCAGUUGCCAGUUACUAUUCAUUCUCAACAGCCUACGCAUCGAUCUUGUGAGACAAGAAGACGUUCUACGCCACGUGUUCGUUACGAGAUCCUGAGGAAGAGAAGAGAAAAAUUCGUCAGGAAGAGAUUUUGAAGAUAACCAACAAGAAAAUGAAAGUCUCGAAGUUUCUGCAGGUAUACCUAGGUGACAACAGGACAGUAGGACAGAAAUUAUGGCGGAUCAUUAGAUCUAAACGAAAGACUGCAUUCAUAAGAGACUCGGGAACUGUUUUAUGGAACAAAAAAGUGAUAGUUCUAAGAAGCUUAGAUUUGAGUAAAUUGAAACAAAAAACUUUUGGAACAAAGCCCAUAAACCUAUAUUCACCUAAAAAACUAAAUCUAUAAAGCUACCUUAGAAGGGAGGAAUACAAAAAUAGCUAUAGUAUUGAUAACAAAGGAAGCCCCUCCACCUCCUGGUACUGAAGAUAUGGUAGCUACAGAGCGAGCAACUGCACUUUGUGCUGUAUGCGAGUUACCAGCAAAAACUCUUUAUUUUUUACCUUAUGCAGAUCAUUUAUUAGGCUACACAUUUAGAUUAGAGCAUAUUUUAUACAACUUAGCCCAAAGUUUUUAUCAUCAAGAAUAUCGAAUAGUAAAGAGUCAUAGAGAACAAUUAAACAAAACUGGCCAUCGAUACUUAUUUGCAAGACAUCAAUUCAAAAUGGCUUUUCUGAAGAUUGAAACAAUAUAUUGUAAACCAAAUUUAAUGUCAAAACUAUGUUCAAUUAAUUAUAAACUAUAUGCUGGACAAAAUUUUAGCAUGAGCAAAAUUUCAAGUUAUUUUAAAAUAAAAUACGUAUGAUUCGUCUUUCAGUUUGAAGCUAUUAAUCGCUUACUUAUACA